rnacentral:rRNA from 1 species
GCGAACGCUGGCGGCGUGCUUAACACAUGCAAGUCGAACGGAAAGGCCCUUCGGGGUACUCGAGUGGCGAACGGGUGAGUAACACGUGGGUGAUCUGCCCUGCACUCUGGGAUAAGCCUGGGAAACUGGGUCUAAUACCGGAUAGGACCACACACUUCAUGGUGAGUGGUGCAAAGCUUUUGCGGUGUGGGAUGAGCCCGCGGCCUAUCAGCUUGUUGGUGGGGUAAUGGCCCACCAAGGCGACGACGGGUAGCCGGCCUGAGAGGGUGACCGGCCACACUGGGACUGAGAUACGGCCCAGACUCCUACGGGAGGCAGCAGUGGGGAAUAUUGCACAAUGGGCGCAAGCCUGAUGCAGCGACGCCGCGUGAGGGAUGACGGCCUUCGGGUUGUAAACCUCUUUCAGUAGGGACGAAGCGAAAGUGACGGUACCUACAGAAGAAGGACCGGCCAACUACGUGCCAGCAGCCGCGGUAAUACGUAGGGUCCGAGCGUUGUCCGGAAUUACUGGGCGUAAAGAGCUCGUAGGUGGUUUGUCGCGUUGUUCGUGAAAACUCACAGCUUAACUGUGGGCGUGCGGGCGAUACGGGCAGACUAGAGUACUGCAGGGGAGACUGGAAUUCCUGGUGUAGCGGUGGAAUGCGCAGAUAUCAGGAGGAACACCGGUGGCGAAGGCGGGUCUCUGGGCAGUAACUGACGCUGAGGAGCGAAAGCGUGGGUAGCGAACAGGAUUAGAUACCCUGGUAGUCCACGCCGUAAACGGUGGGUACUAGGUGUGGGUUUCCUUCCUUGGGAUCCGUGCCGUAGCUAACGCAUUAAGUACCCCGCCUGGGGAGUACGGUCGCAAGACA